AAUAGUAAAUUACUUUGUUUCUAGCUACAAACAGCUUAGAAAACUUACUUUAAAGUGAAUGCCAUACAUGAUCUUGAAAGUCAGAUGAUCUACAACUCUUCUCCUGGUUUCAAAAUAGACAUUUAUAUCAUGAAAUGAGAAUAAAUUGUUUAUAGUUACUUGGCCAUAGCUAGCAUUGUGUAUUUGGUAUGAUUUCAAAAAUCAGAUCUUCAAAAAUCUCUGAAGAUCCUUGUGUUGUCUUUGUACUUUCUAAUAGGAAAAAAAAAUCUUCUUUAGCAUUUAAUUAAAUUAAGGUGGGCAAUUGACAUUAUUAUAAGUGCAACCUAAAGAGGGAAUUAAGGAAAGGGGGGUAAGACCUUUCUCAUUUCUUUCCAUUCUUCUGCACAGCUCCUCUGUCCUGUACCACUUGACUGGCUUAGUUUUCUAAAAUUUGGGUCACACCAUUGCUCUCUAGCUAGAAUAUUUUCCUCCCUUCCCACCUUCCCUGAUCCUCUCUUUUCACCAGGCCUGUCUCAUGUACCACCUCCUUUGUGGGAGCCUUUCUAAACACUCACUUGAAACAAAUCCCCUCUUGUUAUGAACUCCUAUGACACUGAUCCUUUUGUCCAUUAAGUUAAUUAAUUAUACACCACCUUGUAGUAAGGUAAAUCUUUUAUUGAUUCACCUGUGGCCUUCUUACCCCAACAAAAUUGUCAGCAUUACCGGGGCAGAGACCAUGCUUGAUUUUCUAGCAUCUUCUCUGGUACAAUGUCCAAGACAAGAGAAGCUCAGUAGACAGGAGUGUUGUUUAGUUAGAGCUGGAGGUACUGUUCCGUUAUUUGAUGAAAAUAUAUUUCUUUGGGACCCAAGGUUUCCACGUGGUAAAGACCACAAGCUAAUGAAGCUUUUCAAUAUCAGAUUAAAUAAAAAAUGGCUGUGGAUUGUCAGAGAAGAUAUUUAGAAGGCACAUACCUCCAAAUCCGGCAUCACAUGUCUUAGAAUGUUUAUGCUUGUAAACACUUUCGUUUUUGAAAUGCGUCCAAAGUGUUCUCGCUUUCCGUGGGUGUAAACGCCAGGAGAGGUGCUGGGCCCUCUCUGUUAGCUCUUUUGACUGUGAAUUCCAUUUACACACAUUCUUCAACACUGCUAGUUCUUCUGAAGUCGUUCCUCACAAGAAUCUCUGUUCAUAUGUCAGUUUUGUUGUCACAAAGAUGUAUGUUUUAUAGACCAAUUUAAUUCAUUUUUGAAGAAGUACUAUGAGAAAAUGUGGUUCCCAUAUGUCCUCACACAUGAUAUGUCAGCCUCGCAUGAUGGUAGGCUUCUCUCCUCUGCCCCCUUAAGACAGCU
rnacentral:lncRNA from 1 species